rnacentral:rRNA from 1 species
AUUGAACGCUGGCGGCAGGCUUAACACAUGCAAGUCGAGCGGGGGAAGGUAGCUUGCUACCGGACCUAGCGGCGGACGGGUGAGUAAUGCUUAGGAAUCUGCCUAUUAGUGGGGGACAACAUCUCGAAAGGGAUGCUAAUACCGCAUACGUCCUACGGGAGAAAGCAGGGGAUCUUCGGACCUUGCGCUAAUAGAUGAGCCUAAGUCGGAUUAGCUAGAUGGUGGGGUAAAGGCCUACCAAGGCGACGAUCUGUAGCGGGUCUGAGAGGAUGAUCCGCCACACUGGGACGGGGACACGGCCCAGACUCCUACGGGAAGGAGCAGUGGGGAAUAUUGGAAAAUGGGGGGAACCCUGAUCCAGCCAUGCCGGGUGUGUGAAGAAGGCCUUAUGGUUGUAAAGCACUUUAAGCGAGGAGGAGGCUACUUUAGUUAAUACCUAGAGAUAGUGGACGUUACUCGCAGAAUAAGCACCGGCUAACUCUGUGCCAGCAGCCGCCGUAA